GCGAGGAGAAGUGUACGACGACGAUCAUAACGGGUAUGAAUACAACGAAGAAAUAUGAAGGCAAAGGCAGCACCAGCGUCAGCACCAGCACCAGCAGUGAUUGUGAUAUCUGCAGUACUUGCAGUUGUGCGGAGUAUGUGAAUGCCAAAAAAGAGGAG
rnacentral:rRNA from 11 species